rnacentral:rRNA from 1 species
UACGGGGGGGGCAAGCGUUGUUCGGAAUUACUGGGCGUAAAGGGCUUGUAGGUGGCCAACUAAGUCAGACGUGAAAUCCCUCGGCUUAACCGGGGAACUGCGUCUGAUACUGGAAGGCUGGAGUGUGGGAGAGGGAUGCGGAAUUCCAGGUGUAGCGGUGAAAUGCGUAGAUAUCUGGAGGAACACCGGUGGCGAAGGCGGCAUCCUGGACCAUUACUGACACUGAAAAGCGAAAGCCAGGGGAGCAAACGGG